CCAUGGGUACAUAAAAUUUACCCAAUACCCAAACCCUAUUCACUUCUCUUCUCUCUUCGACUCUUCUCUACUCUCUCCGACUCUUCUCUCUCCUUUCAACCCAGCAAUCUCGCCGGAGAUCCGGCUACUCCGGAAUCUAGGGUUUGAGGAAGUGGUGGAUUUCAUCGGCGGAGACGAGGUGGAGUUCGUCUUUCUGUGAAUUUCAGGUGCCGCCAGAGCUAACUUGGGUUCCAUUUCAAAACCUUCAAAACCGAUUUUCGGUAAUUUCCGCCAUUGUUUCUCCUCUCUCGCAGUCUGGUUGAUAUCGAGGGUUCUAUUCCAUCUCAGCUUUCUCCAGCUUCGAACUCGUACUCAGUAUGGAAGAUAUGUCGUAUAGCUGAGCUAAUUAAUAAUGAAAUAAUGGAUGAGGAUGUGGAACAAAGUGUUCCACGCAAAAGAAAGAGGAAGGCAGUAGUAUGGGAUAAUUUUGAAGUAAAAGUGAUCAAGGGGGAAGAGAAAGCAAUUUGUAAGUAUUGCGGCAAGAUCCUAAGUGCAAAGUCUACAAAUGGAACUAAUUCCUUGAACUUACAAAUGCCCAUAGUGAAAAUGUGUAAAUGGGUGGAUGCUUAACACUAUUUAGAUCAAAGAAAAACAAUAAAGUAGUAAUAAGUAUUUGUCAAAAAAAAAAAAAUAGUAGUAGGCUGUAAGUAUUUAAAAAAAAAAAAAAAUCCCAGUCUUUAAUAGGCUGGAUUAAAUAAAAAAAAUUAAAAAAAAAAAAACUGCUGCCCAUAUUGAAAAAUGGGUAAAUGGGUGGGUAUGAGUUUAUUAGUUUAGAAAUGGGUUGGAUAAAUACUCAUACCUGCGAAUUAUUUGAUGGGUAUUACCCGCGAACUAUUAUUGGGUGAUUAUUACCCAGCGGGCCGGGUAUUACCCAAUGGGUACAAAUGCCAACUUGACUCAAGAGUGAGACCCAAGACAAUUGCUUUGGUUGCCUUGCCCAAGGGCCGGCCCUGCUUAUGUAUUCUAUGAGUCGACUCUAACUGGCAUAGUCCAGAAAUGGUUCAAGCAAAGUUCAAAAUGGGCUGAAUGGGCAGCUAAGUUAGCCCUGACAAAUAAUCCUUUAGACUUUGCAAUUCCCAUCUAUGCACAAUUUUGUGGUGAUAUUACUGAGAUUAGUAAGCAAGCUAAAGAAAGAGCUAGAGCAAAUAUUCAAAAACUAAGCAUUUGUAAUAUGAGAUAUUUUGAAGAAGGGUUAUUAUCACAAAUGGUACCUGAACUUUUCCUCUAUUUUAUCGAUGGUACCUGAACUUCAAUUUUGAUCACAACCAGUACCCGAACUUUUCGAUUUCAUUUUAAAUGGUACCUAAGGCCACAUUCGGUCACUA